ACCCCCCGAGCAUCGGCUAUCCGAUAGUCUCCUCCCCUACCCCCCGGAACUCUCCUCCCCACGAUUGUACACCACUUGUCGACCUCCGCUCGGACGCUCUCAUCCCCAGUUUCUCGGGUUUAGAAUUUGGUGAACGAUGAAACCCUAGAACCAUCAGUGGACUGAGAAAAUGAGAUGGUGUUGUUGAAAAUGAAGAGGUGAAUACAAGUGAGGAUUAUGCAAAUAGUGAUGAAUUUAAUCCAACGACAUCUGAAGGAACAGAUGAAGAAUGACAAAACUUUGGCAAGUCUAAGACAAAGAUUCCGACAUAAUUUCCACGUAGUGAAAUCUUUCAAUUCAGGGAAAGAAUUUAAGAAGGCUCUGUUUGUCUAUGUGUUAGCUGAGAACAUCAACAUCAAGUUGUCGAGGUGGGAUC